GGACCUUAAGGAGACAGGCCUGCCUCUCUUCUGCCUGACCUUCUGCUGUCUACGUUCUGCAGCUGAACCAGGAAAGCAGCAGUCCGUGGAGAGAGAGAGAGAGAGAGAGAGAAUAUAUAUACACACACACAUGCAAGGACAGGCCGGCAAGGUUGUAAGGUCCCCGGAAAUCAAGGCUGCAUCACAUGCUAACUACACACAUGUCCAUCCAUACUGGCAUUUUGGCAUGUUGUGCUUGCGGAUCACCCUUAAUGGCUGCACACUGCAGUCCAUCUCCAAAGAGUGUCUGGGAAAUUCUGGAGGUUUCCAGUGUGGUCACUUUGAACCAGGAAAAAGUGGUCAGUGGAGUUGUGCUUGUUUGCUAGCAGCACCAACGCUAUUUUUUUUUUUAAAAAAACCUUAUAGCUCAGAAGGAGUAAGAAUGUGUCACCCCAAAGCGCCAGCUAACAUUGAUAUAUUUCCCACCCAUUUCUGGAAAACCCUUUCAACGUUUGUAUUAAAAGGAUGAAGGGGAACACAUCGUGUCACUGAAACAACCAAAUAUUUUCCCUCUGUCCCCACCCUUCUGCCCCUGCUCUCUUGCCUCUCUUUCCCUAUGUCAGAUUUUAGAUGUUUAAGCAUUAUGAGGCAAGGGCCCUGAUCCCUUGAACUCAUUAAAGAGCCGUAAACAUGGAUGACACUAUAGAUGUAAAAAAAAGUAUUAUUUAUUUAUUAUUACCUUUAUACCCUGCCUUUCCUCUGGGGAGCUCGAGGUGACAAAAUACAUGGUUCUCCCACUCCCCAUUUUAUAUCCUUGCAUCAACCCUGUGAGGUAGGUUAGGCUGAGACUCAGUGCCUGCCUCAAGGCCCCUCAGUGAGCUCUGGGGCUGAACGGGGAUUUUGAACCCUGAUCCUAAUCCAACACUCUAACCAAUAAAUAAAAGAGUAUGUUGUUACGGGAUUGAGGUCUGAGACAGAUGUUUCUGUGAAUCCACUUUCCAACCUCUGCUGUGGGAUCUGCAAGGGAAGAAACCCACUCCCCUGGUCAAAGCAGUUUGCUUUGUUAAGCUAGUCUGUGAGCUAAUGGAUGUGUCAAGUGGCCACCGUGAGCAUAUGUAAGAGGAGAGCACAGAGAGAUCCUGUUGCUGUUUCCACUCUUCCUGAAGAGAGGUCCUCCCCACCUCCAUCCUGGUCCUGGAUCCAGGGAGAGGCUUGUGUUUUUAGUCUAGUCGGGAGAAGCUGGGAACUAGGGGACACACAGAGAGGCCUCCUCUCUGCACCAUGGCU